rnacentral:rRNA from 1 species
GUACCUACGGGACGCAGCAGUGGGGAAUAUUGCACAAUGGGGGAAACCCUGAUGCAGCCACGCCGCGUGAGUGAAGAAGUAUUUCGGUAUGUAAAGCUCUAUCAGCAGGGAAGAUAAUGACGGUACCUGACUAAGAAGCCCUGGCUAACUACGUGCCAGCAGCCGCGGGAAUACGUAGGGGGCAAGCGUUAUCCGGACUUACUGGGUGUAAAGUGUGCGGAGGUGGCAGGGCAAGUCAGAUGUGAAAGCCC